rnacentral:rRNA from 1 species
CACGUAGGGGCCAAGCGUUGUCCGGAUUUAUUGGGCGUAAAGAGCUCGUAGGCGGUUCGACAAGUCGGGUGUGAAAACUCCGGGCUCAGCCCGGAGACGCCACCCGAUACUGUCGUGACUGGAGUCCGGUAGGGGAGUGGGGAAUUCCUGGUGUAGCGGUGAAAUGCGCAGAUAUCAGGAGGAACACCGGUGGCGAAGGCGGGUCUCUGGGCCGAUACUGACGCUGAGGAGCGAAAGCGUGGGGAGCGAACAGG